rnacentral:lncRNA from 1 species
UAUUGCUUUGUGUGAGGAUCACAGAGACACAAAUGUUAUUAAAGUCUAUGAUGUGAAAAUAUCAAUAUCAACUAACACUAGAUUUUAUUUAUUUUACAUUGAUGUUUAGCUGUCAGAGAUUUGUUACAUUGCAAAGAGAUUUCCUGAGCUGCAUUAACAUGCAGAGUUGCCUGCUAUUGUGGGAAUAUUAUAUUUAGCCAAGGGACUCUUAGAACAGAUCGGAACGGAAAAGAGCUGAGGCAACCAGAAUAAAGGGCUGAAAGGUUUUUAGGUAAACAGGAUGGGACCUUGUGAUGUUGUCAUAUCGUCUUGGCUACACACAGACUUCGCAGUGUUGUUUGUUCUCACCACGGGAGUCCCCACGGAGAACAGGAGAAAGGUUACAGAGGAACUGAGUUCUAUUCGGGAACUGUGCAGCUUGUGAACCACACCUCCUCCGGGGCAAAAGUCCAUGCCUCUACACCUGACGCGCUGUAAACAAGAGACAGUAAUUUUUUUAAAUAUAAUUGCUAGGAAGAUAUUCUAUCUUGAAAACCAUAAUAGGACGCUUACAGUUACAAACCAGAAAAGCACCCGUAAGCGGGGAUCAUAGAGAAAGCACAUGCCUUAGAGAAUGAAAAGAAUGAACGGCAGCGGAGUGGUCAGUUUCAAGCUCUGUCGGCUCCACACAGUGUCCAGGGUUUUGGUGACUUAAACCUUUGUGCUGAGUUGGGAACAGGAGGCGUCCACAGACACAUUCUAUUGUCCUUUAGCCUCUGGCCAGGGUCUGUGUGGGUCCGGGACGCUCGGAAGAGGGAGGUGGGGGCUGCUGCUGCUGCUGCACACAACGGCGGCGUCCGGAUGGCUCUCUGAAUGAUCCUCAUUCAUCCCCCUCUCCACCCACUCCGCACGCAGACACACACCAGAGGAAUCGCACCACCCCGCAUCCCCUGCCUGUCAUUCGAUGCUUGGCUCGGGCACCCGUUUGAAGCAGUGGCGGCAUCAGAAUCGGCCGCGGUGCUGGACCAGACGCCUCUCAUCUUCACCAGGGAGGCUGUGGCGCUGAAGAGGAGGAGGAGGAGGAGGAAGAGCAGGGUGUCUAUCUCUGGGAGCCUCCACAUCAGAGCAGCGGGACCAGACCAAAAGGCCAAAGCCUCAUCGAGGCGCCUCGACACCCCGCGCUCCGCGCUUUCAUGUGUUCUUCACUCCCCAGCCUACUGCUGCAGCAGUGCACCGUACCUGAUGGACAGAGCAUGGAGCACUGGUCUGUGCACUGAAAGGCUUCACAGGUCUUCAUGA